AUUGAACGCUGGCGGCAGGCCUAACACAUGCAAGUCGAGCGUGCGGCGGGCGGGUGAGAAAUGCCUGGGACUUGCCCAGUCGGGGGGGAUAACGGUUGGAAACGCCUGCUAAUACCGCAUACGAUUGGAUUGCACAGGUGGGGUUAGCUAGUUGGUGGGGUAAUGGCUCACCAGGGGGAAGAUCCCUAGCGGGUCGGAGAGGAGGAUGAGCCACACUGGAACGGGGCAACGGCCCAGACCCAUAGGGGGGGAGGAAGUGGGGAAUAUUGCAAAAUGGGGGAAAUCCUGAUGAAGACAUGCCGCGUGUGGGAAGAAGGCCUUCGGGUGGUAAAGCACGUUCAGCGAGGAGGCGUUACUCGCAGAAGAAGCAACGGCUAACUCCGUGCCAGCAGCCGCGGUAAUAC
rnacentral:rRNA from 1 species